ACCGACCUUACUGGAAUCUGGGCACGAGAUGGCCGCAUCAAUGGCCUUAGGGGACAUCGCCGUGGACUCCCUGCCUUCGCCCUGCCUCGGGCUCGACGCGGCCCCCCGCUCAGGCCGCCGGGCUGUUCCCUCGAGCUCGGAAGCUCCUUCCUCGAUGCCUGUCACGCUCGACGCGGCCGCCUCGCGCCGGCGCUCUUGAAGCGGCAGACGCGAAGCAGGAGGACGUGCGGCCUGGUCGUGGCCGAGAUUGGCGGGCAGGACGAAGAGGGAUUCGACGACGUUCGUGUGGUAAAAGGCAACUAAUUAAUUACUUCACCUAUAAAGCAGCAAGGACUGUUCUCCACCAGCUGCAUGAAAUGAACCCACCAAGUUAUAUGUGGUUAUAUAAGACAAUAAACCAUCUGAUGGUAAACGCUUUCUCCGCAUACCGGCAAAGG